AUGCAAGUCGACGGUACAGAGAAAGCUGCUUUCUUGCUGACGAGUGCGACGGGUGAGUAACGCGUGGGAAUCUACCCCAGUAGUUGGGGAUAGCCCGGAGAAAUCCGGAUUAAUACCGAAUAAUGUCUACGGACGAAAAGGUGCCUCUUCUUGAAAGCACUUGCUAUUGGAUGAGCCCGCGUUAGAUUAGUUUGUUGGUGGGGUAAUGGCCUACCAAGACUGCGAUCUAUAGCUGGUUUGAGAGGAUGAUCAGCCACAUUGGGACUGAGACACGGCCCAGACUCCUACGGGAGGCAGCAGUGGGGAAUAUUGGACAAUGGGCGCAAGCCUGAUCCAGCAAUACCGCGUGUGUGAAGAAGGCCUUAGGGUUGUAAAGCACUUUUAUGUAGGAAGAAGGAUUGAGAGUUAAUAGCUUUUGAUUUUGACGGUACUACAAGAAUAAGCACCGGCUAACUCCGUGCCAGCAGCCGCGGUAAUACGGAGGGUGCGAGCGUUAAUCGGAAUUACUGGGCGUAAAGGGUACGUAGGCGGCUUAAUAAGUCAGAUGUGAAAUCCCCGGGCUUAACCUGGGAACUGCAUUUGAAACUGUUUAGCUAGAGUGAGUGAGAGGUUAGUGGAAUUCAAGGCGUAGCGGUGAAAUGCGUAGAGGUCUUGAGGAACAUCAGUGGCGAAGGCGACUAACUGGCACUACACUGACGCUGAGGUACGAAAGCGUGGGGAGCGAACAGGAUUAGAUACCCUGGUAGUCCACGCCCUAAACGAUGAGGACUGGCUGUCGGCGCUAUAGACGCGUCGGUAGCGAAGCUAACGCGUUAAGUUCUCCGCCUGGGGAGUACGACCGCAAGGUUGAAACUCAAAGGAAUUGACGGG
rnacentral:rRNA from 1 species